rnacentral:rRNA from 1 species
GACGAAUGCUGGCUGCGUGCUUAACACAUGCAAGUCGAACGGUGAACCAGGGCUUGCCCUGGGGAUCAGUGGCGAACGGGUGAGUAGCACGUGGGCAACCUGCCCCUCACUCUGGGAUAACUCCGGGAAACCGGGGCUAAUACCGGAUAUUACCUGGUGCGACAUCACACCAGGUGGAAAGAAUUUCGGUGAGGGAUGGGCCCGCGGCCUAUCAGCUAGUUGGUGGGGUAACGGCCCACCAAGGCGACGACGGGUAGCCGGCCUGAGAGGGCGACCGGCCACACUGGGACUGAGACACGGCCCAGACUCCUACGGGAGGCAGCAGUGGGGAAUAUUGCGCAAUGGGCGAAAGCCUGACGCAGCGACGCAGCGUGAGGGACGACGGCCUUCGGGUUGUAAACCUCUUUCAGCGGGGACGAAGCGAAAGUGACGGUACCCGCAGAAGAAGCACCGGCUAACUACGUGCCAGCAGCCGCCGUAACAC